rnacentral:lncRNA from 1 species
GUUCGACAUUGUUGGACAUCAAGAUCUCGUAGAACUGACUCUCCCUACCACAACUGUCUCGAGAUAUUUUUCUUGAUGGUGCUAUGUCUCCCAAAUUACGCAGUUCUCGUGUUAUUUCAUGUAAAUAUUGCAGUGAGAACUUAUUAAGAAAGGUGAUCCUUUCCGAAAGAGUCCCUCUAAAUUACCUUAGAUUGAAAACUUCUGAUGAUGAAUCUGGAAACUCCCUCCCUGCACAAAAAAGUAACAGAUUAAAGGAAGAAGCCAUUGGUGUUCUUGCAUAAGGUUACUUACAUAUGUUUCAAUCAUUCAUGUGUCACAACUCAGCAUUAUACUUUUUCUUGUUUCUAUUUUGCCUGUUACAAAUAUAUCUUAGUUUAUUUAUUAUGUAUGCUAAAAAAAUUUUAGGCAUGACAUGGCUAGAAUGCGGGUUUCCGAGGACAUGACCCUUGAGAGGAAAGUAUGGAGGUGUAGUAUCAGGGUUGUAGGAUAGGGCCCUAGAGUUCUCCGUACUCCUCACCCGGGGUUGGGUGAGGCUAGGCAGGGCUAUCCAUAGAUGACUUGUGUUUUGGAUUGUGCCUCCCUUAGGGUAGUUAUUUAUGGUAGUUACUGUAUGAUAUUAUUGCAUACUAUUUUAUUUAUGGUUCUUAUAAUUACCUUAGAUUGAAAAGUUCUUCUGAUGAAUCUGGAGACUCCCUCCCUUCACAAAAAAGUAAGAGAUUAAAGGAAGAAGCAGUUGGUGUUCUUGCAUAAGGUUAUUUACAUAUGUUUUAAUCAUUCAUGUGUUGCAACUCAGCAUUAUAUUUUUUCUUGUUUCUAUUUUUGCCUGUUUCACAUAUAUCGUAGUUUAUUUAUUAUGUGUGCUAAAAAAUUUGGCAUUUUACUGCUAGUAGGAAUGUGAAUAUCCUUCGGCACAAAGAAGGAAGAAGUAUGUCAGGGUUGGGCUCUUUAGAUCUGGUUGGAGAAUCAAGAAAGGCAGGUUUUUGAUUUUUUCCUUGUUAUUAUUUCUCCUCUUGCAAUAAAAACUGAUUGAAGCAUCUCUUGACAGCAUUAACAUAGGUGGGAUCGUGACACAUUCUGUAAAUUUAGACUUCAUGUGAGCUUUUCCCUGUUAAAUGUUUAAUUAUUUCUUUCAUCUUAGGGCUAUGUGUUUUCAGGCCUUGUGAUACUACAUGAAGCAGCAUGAUCAAAACAUUUCUGGGUUGUAGGUAUAUCGCGGUUUAGUCAUGACUGAGGAACAUAUCACUACAAGAUAUGUGGUCAUGCUAAGGAAAGAUUUUGUCACGCCUUUUCCUUAGCAUUGUCAAGUCUAAACUGUAUGUAAAAGAGAAAAAUGUUUAAUUACUUACCAAAGAAAAAAGAAAAUAAGAACGUUUAGUUUAUAAUAAAAAUCAAUUUUGUGCAUGGUCUUGGUGUAAAAUCAUAAUUCUAUCAGGCAUUGGAAUAAACGUAAAUAUAAUGAUUCCUUUUACUAGUACAUUUAGGAUUCAAAGGUGGUGCAGUACUGAGUUGUUUCCUUGUGAAGUUGCUUUCAGUUUCUGGUAGGAAUGCCUGUGAGAUCCAAAUGGUACACCAAGAAGAUGCUGGUCUGAAUGUUGAAAUGGCAAAACUAGCCUUUGCAAAGGGCAUAUGGAACUAUAUCUGUAAAAUGGAUGAUGCACUUCGUCAAUACUCUGCCCUUGAUCACUCUCAAUUGACUUCAGAUGUGAGUGCCGUAACGUUAAUUCAAAAGGUCAGAGCUAUACUUCUUUUAAAGUUCUUAACGGGACUUUCACUAUUCUUUUAGGAAAAGGGAAGUUAAAUAAAAUAGACAAAAAGAAUUUGGCAGUGAGAGAAACAGAAGCAUCUUCCUUUUCAAAGUCAGUUUUCCCUUUUUACUUCACCGUGGCCUCCCUUCGUCCAAAAAUGAUUAGCAGGUACGAGGACAGUGUGCUGCUAUUAUUACAUACCUGGACUAAUUGUCUUUCUCAUUACCAGUAGAAUAAUGUAUAAUCUGGACGAAAGGUAGUGCCAGUUUCUAAUCCUAAAUGUUCGUCUUUUUGACAUGGUUUUUGAUCUUUCCUUUCCUAACCCUUUUCCCCCUCUUGUCAAAUGAAGGUUCCAUUUGGAUUGGACGCCUUACACCACACAAGGAGAUUAAUCAAUCCAGAAACCUGCACAAAUAGUGACUAUUGCUGUGGAGUUUCACAUGAAUGCAGUACGAGGGAGCAAACAAAAGAGCCA